UUUCCGUAGGUGAACCUGCGGAAGGAUCAUUAUUGAAUAAACCUGAUGUGGUUGUAGCUGGCCCUUUCGUGAGCAUGUGCACACCCGUCGUCUUUAUCUUUCCACCUGUGCACCUUUUGUAGACCUGGAUGUAACACUUUCCGAGGCAACUCGGUCGAGAGGAAUGCUGUCAGCUUUCCUUGAAUGUCCAGGCCUAUGUUUUCAUAUACCCCAAAGAAUGUAACAGAAUGUAUUAUUGGGCAUUGUGCCUAUAAACUAUAUACAACUUUCAGCAACGGAUCUCUUGGCUCUC
rnacentral:misc_RNA from 1 species